UCUAAUGGUGUUUGGUUUUGGAACCUGCAUUUCUUUGAAAAACAGCAUGUGCAUUUUCCCAGAUGCCUGGUAUCCAACUGCACUUCUCCAUGUGUGCAUUGUCCCCUGAGCUGGCAAGAAGAUCCUACUAGUUGGUCUGCAUGCCAUGCCAGCUCGGCCUUGCACCCUGGGGGCCCAGCUGUUGUCCACACCAAGGGUGGCCUACAGAGGGAAGUGAGGACCUUGGGACUUCCUCCAGGACAGCCCUCGCUGUCCAAAUCUCCACCUGCUGCAGAGCUGCCUCCAGUCAAGCCCUUGUUUCCGGCUUUCUGUGCCCUAAAUAAACUUCCGCUAGGAUUGAGCCGUCAGCAUUCUGUGGUGGGCGUCGCUGCUGCAAGGUUGCCCUCGUGCACACAAGCUCCUCACAGGUAAAGGUGAUCUGCCUGUGGACAUACUUGUUACAGAAGUU
rnacentral:lncRNA from 1 species